ACUCGAAUGGCUUAAUUGGUAGGGCGCUUGACAUGAAUUCAAGAAGUCCGGGUUCGAGUCCUGGUUCGAGUG